AAAUGAAUUGACGGGACCGCACAAGCGGUGGAUGAUGUGGUUUAAUUCGAUGCAACGCGAAAACCUUACCACCUUUGACAUGUACGGAAGCCUUUAGAGAUAGAGGCGUGCUCGAAAGAGAGCCGUAACACAGGUGCUGCAUGGCUGUCGUCAGCUCGUGUCGUGAGAUGUUGGGUUAAGUCCCGCAACGAGCGCAACCCUUGUCAUUAGUUGCUACAUUCAGUUGGGCACUCUAAUGAGACUGCCGGUGACAAGCCGGAGGAAGGUGGGGAUGACGUCAAGUCCUCAUGGCCCUUAUAGGUGGGGCUACACACGUCAUACAAUGGCUGGUACAAAGGGUUGCCAACCCGCGAGGGGGAGCUAAUCCCAUAAAGCCAGUCGUAGUCCGGAUCGUAGUCUGCAACUCGACUACGUGAAGUCGGAAUCGCUAGUAAUCGUGGAUCAGAAUGUCACGGUGAAUACGUUCCCGGGUCUU
rnacentral:rRNA from 1 species